rnacentral:rRNA from 1 species
AUUGAACGCUGGCGGCAUGCCUUACACAUGCAAGUCGAACGGCAGCACGGGUGCUUGCACCUGGUGGCGAGUGGCGAACGGGUGAGUAAUACAUCGGAACGUACCUUAUCGUGGGGGAUAACGCAGCGAAAGUUGCGCUAAUACCGCAUACGCCCUGAGGGGGAAAGCGGGGGACCGUAAGGCCUCGCGCGAUUAGAGCGGCCGACGUCUGAUUAGCUUGUUGGUGAGGUAAAAGCUCACCAAGGCGAUGAUCAGUAGCUGGUCUGAGAGGACGAUCAGCCACACUGGGACUGAGACACGGCCCAGACUCCUACGGGAGGCAGCAGUGGGGAAUUUUGGACAAUGGGGGCAACCCUGAUCCAGCAAUGCCGCGUGAGUGAAGAAGGCCUUCGGGUUGUAAAGCUCUUUUGUCAGGGAAGAAACAGCAGCUCUAACACAGUCUGCGAAUGACGGUACCUGAAGAAUAAGCACCGGCUAACCACGUGCCAGCCGCCGCGGUAA